AAUAAACUAAAUAAAAUUACAUUUAAAUCCACCUUCAAUAAAAUUUUUCAAUUUUAUAUUCAAAUAAAUAAAUUUAUUGUAAUCCAUUAUAUUCUUAAUUAUAAUCUACAUCUUGAUCUGAUUUAAUUUUUUAUUAUAAUUUUUAAAUAUUAUAAAUUAAUAAAAAUUAUUUUUUUAACAACGAUAUAUAAAAUUUUAAAUUAAGUAAAUUUAUUCGUGGAUUAUCAAUUAUUAAACAGAUUCCUCUAAAUGAACUAAAAUACCGCCAUAUUAUUUAAGUUUCAAUAAAUAAUUAUUUACUAUUUUAGUAUUAUAAUUUAAAUUUUUAAUAAUAGGGUAUCUAAU
rnacentral:rRNA from 2 species